rnacentral:rRNA from 1 species
UACGAAGGGGGCUAGCGUUGUUCGGAUUUACUGGGCGUAAAGCGCACGUAGGCGGAUCGUUAAGUCGGGGGUGAAAUCCUGGAGCUCAACUCCAGAACUGCCUUCGAUACUGGCGAUCUCGAGUCCGGAAGAGGUGAGUGGAACUCCUAGUGUAGAGGUGAAAUUCGUAGAUAUUCGCAAGAACACCAGUGGCGAAGGCGGCUCACUGGCCCGGUACUGACGCUGAGGUGCGAAAGCGUGGGGAGCAAACAGG